GAACGAAAACAAAAACUGAAAACAAUCAUAGCAAAAGAAAAGGGAUUUUCUACGUAUCAGUGCAGCGAUGGCGUUAUCCCUUCCCACCCACCCUUCUCCCACCGUUAAUCCUCUCCGACGAUCCCCAAAACCCACCCUCCGCCGCGUCAACCACCGCGUUUGCGUGGCCAGCGCCGCCACUCCCCUCCUCCAAGUCAAUGACUUGAGGGCCAAGAUUGUCGAAUCCAACGUUGACAUUCUCCACGGCGUUAACCUCACCAUCAACCAAGGAGAGGUCCACGCCAUCAUGGGGAAAAACGGUUCCGGCAAAAGCACUUUCGCCAAGGUUCUUGUGGGGCACCCAGAUUAUGAAGUAACCGGAGGCAGUGUUGUUUUCAAGGGGGAGAAUUUGCUUGAGAUGGAACCUGAAGAAAGGUCUCUUGCGGGUCUCUUCAUGAGUUUUCAAUCCCCUGUUGAAAUCCCCGGUGUUUCCAUUGAUCUGUUUCUCGCCAUGGCCUACAAUGCUCGAAUGAAAAAACUUGGUCGAGAUGAGGUUGGACCAAUCGAGUUUUUACCUUACCUGAUGGAGAAGCUUCAGCUUGUUAACAUGAAGCCUGACUUUCUCAAUAGGAAUGUGAACCAAGGGUUUAGUGGCGGUGAACGCAAGCGCAAUGAAAUCUUGCAGCUUGCGGUUUUGGGGGCGGACUUGGCUAUUUUGGAUGAAAUUGAUUCUGGUUUGGAUGUUGAUGCGCUCAGGGAUGUUGCGAAUGCAGUUAAUAGGAUUCUCACCCCAGAAAAGUCCUUGUUGAUGAUAACUCAUUAUAGACGGAUUCUGGAUCUUUUGAAUCCUACACAUGUCCAUGUUAUGGACAAAGGGAAAAUUGCAAGGACAGGCGACAUAUCAGUGGUAGAAGCUAUUGAGUCAGAUGGAUAUGAAGCAGUCUCUGCUUUAACAUAAUACAGCUAGUAUCGAUAUAUGGCUUUCUCGGUAGUAAAAUCCUGGAAGAUAAGAAACUCUUUAAACUUUGAAUCUCAAUGCAUCAACAUUAGUCUCAAUAUCAUCAGUACGAAUAAGGAGCAGAAAAACAUUUUCAACGUAGAGUGAGUUGAGGUGCACUACCUGCUGGCAUGGAUGCAGUCACAGUGAGGCAGUUGCACUGAUAUGCUGAUGGCUCUUUUCAUCUUUUCCCUUUCUUUGUUCCAUUUUGAAAACGAGGAAGCAGACUGUCUAAAGCUCAUGCUGGCAGAUGUUGAUGUUUCUUGACUUGGGACGUAUAUUCUUCUGGGUAUUAUUUCAGUAGGCUUUGAUAGAGAAAUAUAGAAACUAUUGAAUUUCGCUAUUGUUUUGUGUUUUUAAUGUAAGGGCUUUUUCCUUGUUAAUUAUCAACUUGGGGGCACACGUGCCACGUUUGCUGUAAAUGCAGUAAGGAUUGAAAUAGCUGUCAAUCUACAUUAAUAUUAGCCACAUUUUUGUUUUGGUAUUGGCUGUUGACCUUAUCAUGGUUCGUGGGCAUAUUAAAGUACUUAAAAUUAUUGCUUUGAGAA